AGUGAACGCUGGCGGUAGGCCUAACACAUGCAAGUCGAACGGCAGCACAGUAAGAGCUUGCUCUUACGGGUGGCGAGUGGCGGACGGGUGAGGAAUACAUCGGAAUCUACUUUUUCGUGGGGGAUAACGUAGGGAAACUUACGCUAAUACCGCAUACGACCUACGGGUGAAAGCAGGGGAUCUUCGGACCUUGCGCGAUUGAAUGAGCCGAUGUCGGAUUAGCUAGUUGGCGGGGAAAAGGCCCACCAAGGCGACGAUCCGUAGCUGGUCUGAGUGGAUGAUCGGCCACACUGGAACUGAGACACGGUCCAGACUCCUACGGGGGGCAGAAGUGGGGAAUAUUGGACAAUGGGCACAGGCCUGAUCCAGCCAUCCCGCGUCGGGAAAGAAGGCCUUCGGUUUGAAAAGCCCUUUUGUUGGGAAGAAAAAGCAGCAGAUUAAUACCCCCCUGUUCUGACGGUACCCAAAGAAAAAGCAACGGCUAACUUCGUG
rnacentral:rRNA from 1 species